rnacentral:lncRNA from 1 species
GGAUUAAUGGGUUAUCCAGGGUGUGGGACAGGUGGCUUUAUAAGAAGAGGAAAAGAGACCUGAGUUAGCACACUCAAACUCCUCACCAUGCGAUGCUCUGUGCCUCCUUGGGACUCUGCAGAGAGUCCCUACCAAUAAGAAGGCUCUCACCAGAUGUGGCCCCUCAACUUUGGACUGCUUAGCUUCCGUAACUGGAAAUGCCACAAGACUAGGCCGUGCAACAUUUCCGCAGUGCUCCUCGCUACAAAGACAUUCCCCUAAGGCUGGUGGGCAACUCAACACUCAGCUCAGUACGUGGUCAGCUCGUCCUCCAUAGGAGCCUUAUGCCUUGGUGAGGAGAUCUCUGAAGAAAUUGCUGAUGAAAGUCCAACAGGCUCUUCCAGUUUGUCUGGUCGGUCACAUUUGCUGAAACCUGGAGGAAUUGUUAGUGGAAGCUCAACAGGCCUGACUCAGUCUGACUGUCCAUUCUUCUGGAAGCUGCAGAGAAAAGAAACCUGGAAACCUUAUAUGCUGACAAAAAGGGACACAAUUGGAUAUGAUGGUUAUUUUACCAAGGUUUUGAAAUGUCGUGCUUUCAAAUAUAAACAGACUGCUUUAAGGAAUCGAAGUUGACUUAUAGAGCCAAUAAAAGCCCUGCAGGAAAGCUGGCCUCAUACUUUGUCUACACAGUCUCUGUACAGGUUUCCUGACCUGUGGACUCAUUUACCUUAUAGUAUGCUACUCACUAAAACUGUAGAUGAGAAUACUGAAGCC